rnacentral:rRNA from 1 species
GUAGGUGGGUUUGUAAGUCAGACGUGAAAGCCUUCUGUUCAACGGAAGAAUUGCAUCUGAAACCACAAACCUUGAGUGUAGGAGGGGAGAAUGGAACUUCUGGUGGAGCGGUGAAAUGCGUAGAUAUCAGAAGGAACGCCGGCGGCGAAAGCGAUUCUCUGGCCUAUUACUGACACUCAGUGUGCGAAAGCUAGGGGAGCAAACGGGAUUAGAUACCCCGGUAGUCCUAGCCGUAAACGAU